UACGUAGGGCGCAAGCGUUGUCCGGAAUUAUUGGGCGUAAAGAGCUCGUAGGCGGUUUGUCGCGUCUGCCGUGAAAAUCCGAGGCUCAACCUCGGACUUGCGGUGGGUACGGGCAGACUAGAGUGUGGUAGGGGAGACUGGAAUUCCUGGUGUAGCGGUGAAAUGCGCAGAUAUCAGGAGGAACACCGAUGGCGAAGGCAGGUCUCUGGGCCACUACUGACGCUGAGGAGCGAAAGCAUGGGGAGCGAACAGG
rnacentral:rRNA from 1 species